GUCUUAGAAAAAACGCUUUGGUCGACACGGCCCCUUACAAUGAGCCGUUUAUAUCUACAUAGGGAGCAGGUCCUCGGGUCCAUGUUUCUACAGUAGCCUAGAAUGGACAAACCACUGUGUUAACUUUUCCUGCUUGAGCCAGACCCUUUACGUUUUCACGUCGGCCACUGUAGUUCUUCUACACGCAAGAUGUCGCUAAAUCCAACACACUGUUCCUUUUAAAUGCUGUCAGUAUACUUACUGCGACCUGCGGUCUGCCCACGUUAGAGGGUGGAGUUUGCAAGUUGUUUUACAGGACAUGUCACGAGAUAGAAUCCUGGAGAUUAAAUUGGAGAGAAAGUCAAUACAAGCGUUGGCUGUGCUCAAAGUUGCAAUAGUAGUGGACUAGUAAAAAGUAGAGUAGGAACAUUAUUUAGGACUGGUCCUGAUACCAUUUACAGCAACAAAAAAACUAAAUUGUGGUGUUGUAUUUGGUGUUUAUCUUUAGGUUUUCUGUAGUUAAGGAUUGAUUUAGCUUUAUGGUUAGGCUUUGGGUGUUAGUGAAGGACAAUGACUUAAUACACUGAAGAGCUUAACUCGGAACAAUAGAGCCCAGUCUCUAACCUGCAAAGACAAAAUGAAAAAUAUGUUGGACAUGUUUGUGACGGUGCCACUUUUCGCAGCUUGUGGGAAACCUUUUGGGGCCAUCCUUUCCUCUCACACUAUCUUCAUUACAAGUGGUUGUAAGCAUCUGCCUUCAGAUUCAAUCAAUUCAUACUGGCGAACUGAAACUUCACAUAUAAAGCCAGCUCUGGAGUCCCAAGUUGAAAGAAAAAAAAAAAUGCUCAUUUUGCACAGAUCCUCGUCCUUUUUGUCAGGACUGGUCCCGUAAUCCAUUUUAAGAGAAUCUAAAAUGGCUGCCAACAGACAGCUGUUUCAAAAAUGUCUCGUUGUAAACCUUUUACUCAAGCAGUUCUGAGGAAAAUAACCCAACAGUGCUCUGCUGAGGGAAGCUCCUGCUGUAUCUUAUCUCUGUGCCCCGUGUGAGCCCUGGGUGUGCGUUUGUCAAGAGGGAGCAGAGAUAGAUAGGGCGGUUCAGUCCAAUGCUGGCCCCUAGCUUUUAAACAGACCUCAAAUACUCUUUCUUGUCAUGAUUCAUCUCUCAGAUCAUUUUCACUGAAGUGUCUCAAUUACAUUCUGACAAUGAAAACUGCUGUUACAAACAGCCCAUAAGGUGUUUGUACCCUCAGCUCAGUAGUGGUUUUGUGCUAUCUAAAUGGGGUGCUUGUGAAGGCCCUUACCUGGUUUAACGGGCAUAUCUGAUUAAUGUUGUGGUUGUAGCUUAAAUAAUGGGUUGGUGAAGGUGAGGGUAAGGGGAUUUGUCAAGGUAAGAGUAGUCCCAAGCACCCCACUUAGACACUACCAUGUUAUAUCGUACAGUAAAGCUGAGCUGAUUAACUUGUCAGUACCAACUAUUGCCCUCACUCAGACCUCAUUACAACUAAGAGUAGUGAGUGCUGUGCCAUGCCUGCUUGAUGUUGAAAAAAAAAACCCAACCCAGUCGACAGAUGUCCAACCCACUUGUGCUUGUCUCUUUCUCUCUUUCUCUCCUUUCUCUGUGUU